GCGUGACAUACAGAGCGAAGAAACACCAUUCUUGCAAAACCAUUAACCUUACCUAUACGUACACCUCCUAGAUGAGAAACGUGGCGGUGGGAAGGACAGGAAGCAGAGCCAGCAUCGCCCAGCCACAAAACCCAAGCCGGGUUAAUGGAGUGCCAAAGCAGAUUUUUUAAAAUGGAAAAAUUUUGAAUGUCAUCCGUUUCACAUUGCAUCAAGAUAUUAUCAGCGUAUACCUUCAUUGUGACAAAUCCUAAAGAAUUUAGGGACAAAGCAGGAACUGUACGUGAAGCCAACUGAUGUUAUUGCUUGCUGAAAAGAUUUUAUCAGUCCUCAAUUUAAGGAAACUUCUUUCUAAACAUCUGUGUAGGUAAUAAACUUAUUAUAUUAUCCUCA
rnacentral:lncRNA from 1 species